UGGGUGUCUGAGCGUCAACGGGAGCUCCUCCUGGCUUUCAUGGAGGAGCACCCCCAGCUCGCAACGCCUUCGUACCCGGUGGACCCCUCGUUCACGAGGGAGGACCGGGAGGAGCUCUGGCACCAGCUUAUAGCGCUCCUAAACCAGGCAGGCCCUGCGCAUAGGUCUUUCGCGCAGUGGCAGGCGUUCUGGCGGAAGGAGCGCUAUAACGCCGAGCAGGAGCUCAUACGACUACGGAAAGAACAGAGGUGAGUGCGAGCACAUUUGUAUCUCGGUGGGUCAUCUUACACAUCCCGUUUGUGCUUUGCAGGGGCACCGGAGGCGGCCAGCUGUCCGGCUACCGCGGCCGCAUCUUACAGCUGACUGGGACCUCGAGGGUCGACGGUGCGCGAGGCCCUGUAUUUCGGCGGUCGGAAGCGUUGGUUCCCCCAGAGCAGAGCCUGCAGGCUCGUGCACUGUCUGGGGACUUCCGCCGCCCUCAGCCAUUGCCCGCACCGCCAAGGGUCUCAGUCGGGGACAUGCCGGGCACCAGCGGCUUGCAGGCGUUCGUGAUCCCUGCUGCGGCUGCCGCUGGCUCGUCCGAAGAGGAUGUGGCCCCAGCUCUACCCCAGCGCCAACGACGGCGGCGGCAGCAGACGACGACUGCCCGCAGUCUACUGCCUCGCGUGGCAGACCAGCAGCAGCAGACUAACACGGUUCGUAGAUACCAAA